UGUAUUUGACAUUAUAAUGAAGAGUACUAUUUUUCCUGACGGAUGAGUCUGGCAUGCCAUUUGCAUGAAUUAUUUUCUAUGGAUUAGGAUAAAUUAAAUGCCUGGCUUGUAUGAAUAAAUUAAAGGUUCUGUAUUUUUUUUUAUGGAAUUUAGUUUUUUUAUUUUUUAAAUUUUAAAAUUUAGGUUUUACGGUUAACACUGAUAAAUUUUUUUAAUUAAAUUUGUUGUUAUAAUUUUUUUGAAAUAAAAACAAAUACUCAUUUGGUAGCUAUGUAAUUUCAAUAUGGCUAUGUAAUUAACUUGAAUUUAACAAAAAAAAUUAGC
rnacentral:lncRNA from 1 species